GUGCGAGACCGAUAGCGAACAAGUACCGUGAGGGAAAGAUGAAAAGAACUUUGAAAAGAGAGUUAAAGAGUACCUGAAACUGCUGAAAGGGAACCGAGUCGUAUCUAGUGUCUAUAAUCUGUGGCAUAUUCCACUGCUGUGCGGAUGCGUGCGGUGUUUUGGAAGCGCUUUGCGCUCCUAAUACUGUUGUGCGUUAGCUUGGCGGUGCUCUGUGUCAUGGUGGGACGUCAAAGUCAGUUCGUAUGCUGCGGGAAAUGGCUGCCGGGAAGGUAGGUCACUUCGGUGACUGUUUAUAGCCUGGCGUGCUAGUAGUCGUGGUUGGGACUGAGGUGCCUUAACGUGCUUUUGAGUUUUCGCGUUUCUCGUUUGGCUCGUUGCUUGGAUAGCUUGCUAUGUUAGUGAUUGAGUUGGUCGAUUGAGAUGUGGAAUAUCUUGUUGCUGUUCGGGACU
rnacentral:rRNA from 2 species